rnacentral:rRNA from 1 species
CCUACGGGAGGCAGCAGUGGGGAAUUUUGGACAAUGGGCGCAAGCCUGAUCCAGCAAUGCCGCGUGAGUGAAGAAGGCCUUCGGGUUGUAAAGCUCUUUUGUCAGGGAAGAAACGGGCGAGGCUAAUAUCCUCGUCUAAUGACGGUACCUGAAGAAUAAGCACCGGCUAACUACGUGCCAGCAGCCGCGGUAAUACGUAGGGUGCAAGCGUUAAUCGGAAUUACUGGGCGUAAAGCGUGCGCAGGCGGUUUUGUAAGUCUGUCGUGAAAUCCCCGGGCUCAACCUGGGAAUGGCGAUGGAGACUGCAAGGCUAGAAUCUGGCAGAGGGGGGUAGAAUUCCACGUGUAGCAGUGAAAUGCGUAGAGAUGUGGAGGAACACCGAUGGCGAAGGCAGCCCCCUGGGUCAAGAUUGACGCUCAUGCACGAAAGCGUGGGGAGCAAACAGGAUUAGAUACCCUGGUAGUCCACGCCCUAAACGAUGUCUACUAGUUGUCGGGUCUUAAUUGACUUGGUAACGCAGCUAACGCGUGAAGUAGACCGCCUGGGGAGUACGGUCGCAAGAUUAAAACUCAAAGGAAUUGACGG